GUGCAAGAUACAGAGAUUCGAUGGAUAAAUUAAAUUCAUUAAUAUCUUAUUUCGUAGUUGCUCCAAAUUGAUACGAAAAGGUGAAAAUGGUAGCGCUCAGUAUUAACGGUUUCGCCAGGUUUUAACAGCUCAUAAUAGAUCACACCCUUCUGAUCCCACCAAACACAGAGCAUUGUCUUCCGUCCAUAGCGAUUUGGUCUUGUAGUCGAUGUCGGUGCUGAAUAUAUCCACUUUUCAUCGCCAGUCACAAUUCGGUGAAGAAAUGACUUUCUUUUGUACCUGGCGAGCAGCAUUUCGCAAGUGGUUUUUCGGUUUUCCUGCUGUCUUUCAUUCGGUUCAUGUGAAAACCAUUUUCCCACCUUCUGGAUCUUUUCCAUGGCUUUCAAACGUAUGGAGACGGCUUCUCGUGUCACGUUUAAUUGAUCAGCGAGUUGUUGUUGCGUUUGAGCGUCAUCCUCAUCCAACGAUGCUUGCAAUUCGCUGUCUCGAAACUUUUUCGGUGGUCUUCCACGUUCUUCGUUCCUCGCGUCAAAAUUGCCACUUCUGAAUUUUUUAAACCACUCAAAGCACUGUGAUUUACCAAGAGCAUGCUCACCGUAAGCUUCGACAAGCAUUCGGUGCGAUUCUGCAGCAGUUUUCUUCA
rnacentral:misc_RNA from 1 species